AGCAGGCUCCGGUUUUCACUUUCACAUAAAUUUUCCGAUUUACUUUUGAAAACAGAUAAAUUACUGCUCCCGUUUUCUCAAAGCGCAAGUUGAAAAAGGAAAAAUAAUAGAUGACUUAUUGUUGCAUUACCAUAAAUUGUAUACCAUUACCAGGGCAGAUUGGCUUGUGCAGUAUUUAAAAAUAUUUUGUUUAACUCAACAUAAAAUUUUGCUUUGAAAUAAUUGGGCAACAACACAUUGCGUUUUCGUGCUAACAGCUGACGCAGCCCGAUUCGGAUAUCGAUUCGACAUUUUGGCGCAUAACAGCGUGUGUUCGUACCAGCUCGGAUUGGACUCGUAACAUACGCGUAAAAGAAAAUCUGGAUAAAUACAGCUAUUUACCGACACAAUUAAUUUAAAACGUUCGUUGAGAAAACGGAACAUAUCGAUACAAAAUAUUUGUGAAAUCGGGAGCACGUAAAAACGAAACGUUUUGGCUGAAAACGCAAAACGCAAAAGUAAGUAAAACGGGAGACUGCCAACUAUUAAAAAUGUAUAUUUAUGUGGUGUAUGCAAAUCAAUUUUGAAAUUGCAAGCUUCUUAAGAAUCUUGCGAUUUGCAAACACUUUUGGAGCACAUAACUGGAGCAUGGCUAAUAACACUAUGCAGUACCAUAUUUACGCUUCGAACCAAACCAAAUUUUUCUAAAAGGUUUGGGGCAUGUAAAAUUAUGGUCAAGUUUUUACAAAGUUUUUA
rnacentral:sRNA from 1 species